AAAUAAAAAAGCUUUAAAAAAGGCAUUUGAGAACUUUUGCUGAACAAAAGAAAAGCAGCUGAGACAGUCAGCAGGUCACCGGCUGAUGAGGCGGACUCGGGACUGGAGAACACGGCGGACAGGGGAGCGCAGACGGGAAGGCGGACUCGGGACUGGAGAACACGGCGGACAGGGGAGCGCAGACGGGAAGGUCGGACUCGGCAGACAUCAACAGCCCAAUAAA